CUUCGGGCACGGCGCGCAACGGAACAGAAAAAACUCGACGUACGUCCUCAAUUAACGAGAGUUCAUAAUAAUUUGGAUUCCGGACCCAAGAGAAGUGUGCAGGCUUGACUCGGAAUAAAAGGGGUCCUCGAUUUCUUCUCGUUUUCACUCUCAAUCUCACACUCUCUCUCUCACUCUGUUGGCGAGCUCGUGAUUCUCAGUCGCCUGAGCCAUCCAUUGCGACGAACCCCGCCGUUUCCGGCUUACAGUAGUCAUUUUCGGACAACGAUCGGCUCUGUCCCUCAGUUAUUUUACAAACAAUAAUAUACAAUGGCAUCGUCCUGGGAAAAGAGAAUAUACAGCAAAGAACUUGAAUUUGUGGGACGCUACAGUCUAAUUUAUUACCAGAAGAAGAUUGAGGGCGAUGCCUGUGCUCUUGUUGCCAUUGAAACAUCAGACACAGCUGGAUUUGGAUCCAUCCUUGUCUUGUUUUAGUCCUAGUUUUAGUUUGUUUUAUUGCUAAUGUUCUCUCGCUGAUGGACAAGUUGGGCUCUACUUCAAAAGCAAAAACCAUGAACGACCUCAGAACCCUAGUGGCUGCACAAUUGAGGAUGAAUUAUGUUGGAUAGCAGCAGCAUCAACAAGGGAGAAUCGAUGAUGCUGUGAUGCUAAUCCCUCGACUUGAUACUCGGAUUGAUGUCAAUUUAAACUUAAGGAUACACGAAUUUGACAUUUUCGAGGAGCAUGAAAUUUUCAAGCUCUUAAGGAUUCCAUAUUCCAUGCUUAGAAAGUUCCUCUUCCCAAGGGUGGUCAUACAAAUGGGUCAAAUUCAGGCAUCUCUGAAACUGGAAAGGGAAAAAAUGGGGACUGCCAAGAACUUGAGGUCUUACCACAAAGCUCAC